ACGCUCGACACCUACGGGAGGGCAGCAGUGGGGAAUAUUGCACAAUGGGGGAAACCCUGAUGCAGCGACGCCGCGUGAGCGAAGAAGUAUUUCGGUAUGUAAAGCUCUAUCAGCAGGGAAGAAACUGACGGUACCUGACUAAGAAGCACCGGCUAAAUACGUGCCAGCAGCCGCGGUAAUCUGAGCGGGCUGGCAAGGC
rnacentral:rRNA from 1 species